GAUGAACGCUGGCGGCGUGCCUAAUACAUGCAAGUCGAGCGAACAGAUAGGAGCUUGCUCCUUUGACGUUAGCGGCGGACGGGUGAGUAACACGUGGGUAACCUACCUAUAAGACUGGAAUAACUCCGGGAAACCGGGGCUAAUGCCGGAUAACAUUUAGAACCGCAUGGUUCUAAAGUGAAAGAUGGUUUUGCUAUCACUUAUAGAUGGACCCGCGCCGUAUUAGCUAGUUGGUAAGGUAACGGCUUACCAAGGCAACGAUACGUAGCCGACCUGAGAGGGUGAUCGGCCACACUGGAACUGAGACACGGUCCAGACUCCUACGGGAGGCAGCAGUAGGGAAUCUUCCGCAAAGGGCGAAAGCCUGACGGAGCAACGCCGCGUGAGUGAUGAAGGUCUUCGGAUCGUAAAACUCUGUUAUUAGGGAAGAACAAAUGUGUAAGUAACUGUGCACGUCUUGACGGUACCUAAUCAGAAAGCCACGGCUAACUACGUG
rnacentral:rRNA from 1 species